CUCAUGACUAGUGGUAAAUAACUUGGUUAUAUAUAGCUGGGGCUCCCUACACUCAGGCUGAAGCCUCACUUGUGGAGUGGAUGCACUGCCCAGGACUAUUUUCCCAAUGAAGACUCCUGCCUGACUGCAACGGGGCUUCCCCAUCAAGACUGAAGACAGGAUGAAGCUUUCUCUUUAUCGAUGAACAAACGAGAAUUUCAGAAGCUAAUAUACCAGAUGAUUCUGAGCAAAUGGGGAUGGCAAAAUGGGCACAUCAGAAGUGUGCACACCUGGGAGAAAAGGCCACUUACAGAUUCUAAUUACAAUGCUAAUUGUUGCUGGUUUCGCAUUGUAUGGAUUCCCUUUGGCUGAGUGUGUAACACCAGGAGUAAGAGCAAUUAAAAUGAAUUCAAUGGUACUCCAGUGGGGAUGGGCUGCUGGUGCACAAAAUAGAACAUAAGAAAAUGUUACCUGCCCUGCUGGACAAGGAUGUCCUACUACCAAUUUGACUUUUGAAGGAAAUUUAACUAUUUGGAGGGUAAGAAGAGGGCAUCUUUAUGUUCAGUUACUAGAUGACAGAC